UAGAGGACUGGUAGUAAGCCUAAAUUAAUAUUGACUAAAUUAGUACAACAAGGAUUGAAUUCUAUUAUUUCUAUUUCCAGUACUUUACCUAUUCAUGCUUAGAAUGGUAGGUUUUACUGUUAUGUGUCCUACAAGAGUAUUUAUAUAAAAGAGUAAGGUAGAUAUUUUCUAAUCCAUUAGGCUAACUUUAUUCUUUUGCUUAAAAGUAUAUUACUACUUAGUCUUCCUUGGUUAAACUGAGACAGUCAUGACUUCCAAUCCCAACACAUUUCCCAUAGGACGUAAUAAAUAGCUUUGUAGAUUAUCCUUCACUUUGACAUUAUAAGCAGAAUACACAGCAAACUCCACUAAAAAUUAUUAACUAUUCAUUAGCUCUGUCUUGCUAAUGAUAACUUUUGUUUGCAAAGAUGAACGCUGGCUGAUGCAGUCUUUGAUGUUCCUUGUUUACACUGUAUGUGCAUGGUCUCUAUCUGAAUAUGAUGUGCAGCAGGGAUAAUGUACAUAUGAGAACUCUCCAAAAAGCAUUGGGUUUAAAGUGAAAUAUUAUUUUCAUAUUUUAUUCAUCUCUCUAUAACUAAAUCCAUUUCUUGACUUUGAUUUUGGAAAGGUUCUCUGGCGUUAAUUGCCAUACAAAUAAGUGCUCUUUCUCUUAGGUAAGUGAUGUGGAGAAUAUUAUAUUACUGUUCCUUGCCUAUAAAAUAACCAGAUUACAGAAGUACUAAAUUUAAAAUAAAAAUACAGGAGUCAGAAGUGUGAGAUUUAUUUCUAUAAUAAGGUAACAUAAAUAAUGGAUUUUACCUUAUUACUGUAACUUCAAAGUUUUAUUAUUAAAAGUUGUCUAAAGGUUAUUAGAAGAUCUUUUGAGCCAAGCUAUCCCAACACGCCCCUCCUUAAAUUCCAGUAAAUGUCUGGGUCUCAUAAACCAACUGCAUUUUUAUUUUUAAAAAGCUGAAGGAAAAGGGGAAAAGUUUGAAGAAAUGAAGGGUAUUAGUAGAUUCUGUCCUCAACAAUACAUAACUAAUAGAACACGUACUUGGUGGUUGUAGGUUUGGAAGAGUGAUAGUGGAAAAGAAUAGAUUUGCUUUCUCCCCUCUUUCUCACUCUCAGUUUUUCUUACAGGUCUGUUUCAGUAGCGUAUCUCAUUUGAUCCUUAAAGUGCUCCAUUUUACAGUCCAGUAAGGGAGAAAAGUUUAAGAAGUGGAUUUCAGAAGACUUCCUUGUAUCAUUGGAAAGAACAAAGUAAACCUCUAACUAUGCCGCCACAUCUGUCCUAAAGAACUCCAGGAACACUGACCUGCUACUCAUAACUGAGGUAAGGCACCAAAAUAGCCUGAUAUUCUAAGGAAAAAUAGGCACCUUCAAGAGCAGAGAAGAUGAAAGCACUGACUUAACCUGUGGCAGAGCAUAAGAGGAAGGCAAGCUCACCACACAAGCAGGAUACACGUACUGGAUGACUAUCACAUUCCGUUGUUUUCUACUAAAUGGUGGCCUCUGGCAUAGAUAAGACGAACUGGAGAUUAUGGGAGAUUCCUCUUCUGACUGCAGUAUGUUACUCACCCACCCUUCUUUUAUCUCUACACACUCAGGGAAAUAUAUUAGAACUCAGGUGAAGAAACUGAGGCAGCAGAAAUGAAGGAAUUUGACAGACAAAGAUCAUAUAAGCCCUGAAGAUUCAGAAGUUGGAGGCAGCAGCAUAUACCUCUGAAACAGAGUGAAGGAUGGGGAUGAAAACAGAAGGAUUAGUUGAAAAUCUACACAAGAACAGUUAGAUUCUCAAAUCCCUUCUGCAGGGCUCAGUAGCAAGGAGGCUAUUUCUCCUGAUCCUGGCAGAGGACGGAAGUUUUCACAUUGUACAGACGUUGAAUUACAAACGCACUGAAAUUGGGUACGUCAGAUAUACUAAGUAUAGGGAUUAAGUGAAAACCUGCAUAUUGAGUAAUGAGACUCCUCCAGUCUUCUUUCCCUACUUGGCACCUGAAAAAAUUGGCAACUGACAACACAAGCAGAAAUAGUUUUACUCAAAGAAAAUUAUUGGGCCAAAAGGGAAGCUCCAUGGAUGCUGAAUUUGAUACACACCUCCAGAAAAUGUCUGGGGCCAAACACCGGCUCCCUAAAUGAGGUCCAUCAGUCCAACAAGGUCUUCCUUUUCACAGAAGAACUUUCAAUCAGCUUUGCAGUGCUUCAGUCUUAAAUAUGAAUAAACAGCAGACUGAUGAGGAAGUGCUCUAACAUGAAAGAUGAAGAUUAAAACAAAAAAAAGCAAUUUGCUUAGAAAAAAAUGCUCAAUAUGUGUCAAUAAGAACAAGAUGCUACAGAAAAAAUAUUUAGAGAACAAGAAAGAGAUAUUAGAAAUAGUGUUAGAAACAGAAAAUUCUGUAGAAGAAUUGGCAUAUAAAGUGAAGGAAAUUUCACUAAAAGUAGAAUAAUGUGCCAAGGAAAUGAAAAAUAAAAGAGAAAAGAUAAAAAAAUUUGUUACAGAACUUCUAGCAUUCCAACACCUACUUAACAGGAGUUCCAGAAGGCGGGAACAGAGAAAGUAGAAGGAAAGUCUUAUCAAAGAAAGAGGAUAGGCCAGGUGCGGUGGCUCACGCCUGUAAUCCCUGCACUUUGAGAGGCUGAGGCGGGUGGAUCAUGAUGUCAGGAGUUCAAGACCAGCCUGACCAACAUGGUGAAA